CUCUCCCUCUGUUCUUUUCUUCUUUUUUUUUUUUUUUCUUUGCAGAUCUGUAACGCUAUCCUUCGAGAUUUACACCAAGGCCAUCGUUCUCCUUCGAGAUUUACAGGCUGCCGUUCUCCUUCGAAAUCUACACCAGGGCCGCCGUUCUCCUUCGAGAUUUACACUAGCGCCGCCGCCCUCCUCCCUCUUUUUCACACCACCGCCAUUAUCGACUCAACCCACCACCGAUCACAACGGUCGCCUAGGGUUCUGCCGUCAAACCUCCCAACAAAUCACUUUAUCUUAUAUGUAUAGAUAUGUUCAAAAUUCACACAAUAUAAAAUACAGUGGUACCGUUCAAGGCUUGAAGUAUAUAUAUAGAGCUGAAGGCUUUAAAGGAUUGUUUAAAGGCAAUGGCACUAAUUGUGCUCGUAUUUUCCCAAAUUCGGCAGUAAAGUUCUUCAGCUAUGAGCAGGCAUCCAAGUACGGCCCUCCAACAGCAUAAAUGUUAUAACUUCUUUUGGUUAUUAUGACAGAUUUUGCAGUCAGUGCUGAUUAUCUUUACACUUCUUUGUUUGUGAAUUUUUAAGUGCUAGUCUGCUAGAUGAUUUAAUUUUCAGUUCUGAUGGUUUAAGAAAGGGUGGAUUGAUCUUGUCCUACAGAAUGAUUGGGGAGAAUAUUACUAGGUAGAAAAGUUAUAUUCGAAUAUGACUAUUGUUGAAUAUGACUGUAGUCAUAUUCGAAUA